rnacentral:rRNA from 1 species
UACAUGGGGUGCAAACGUUGCUCGGAAUCAUUGGGCGUAAAGCGUGCGCAGGCGGUGAUGUAAGACAGAUGUGAAAUCCCCGGGCUCAACCUGGGAACUGCAUUUGUGACUGCAUCGCUGGAGUGCGGCAGAGGGGGAUGGAAUUCCGCGUGUAGCAGUGAAAUGCGUAGAUAUGCGGAGGAACACCGAUGGCGAAGGCAAUCCCCUGGGCCUGCACUGACGCUCAUGCACGAAAGCGUGGGGAGCAAACAGG